AAGGGGAUGUUACCCGGCGGAGGGAGCAUUGAUUGCGGUUUGGAGGUGGCUCUGGGAUGGGGGCAGGCUUGUCCCGGAAAGAGCCGAGUCUGUGGGCGGUAAGGUCGGCCCGGAGCCCGCGGUUUGCGGGCUGGCGGCCCCGCACCCGAAGCGGGGGCGCCCGGGAGCCGCCAGCGGACAGGUUUCAAUUAUCGCAGCUGCUGCGGCUCCCCACACCCUCUAGGCCAGUUGCCCAGCGCCCACGCCCCGCGAACCCAAAGGAGCCGCUAUGGGGGGAGGCUCAAGUCUGGAUCCCUCUCUCUUUCUGGAGAGAGCAGCGUAUAUGUGCUGUCUGUGCCGGAUCUGGGAGUCCAGAAGGCUUGGGUUCGAAUUCCAGCUCAGACACCUACUAGUAGGGUUCCCCCUUAACAAGUCCCCUCCCCAUUCUCUGAGCUUGAAGUGGCUCACCUGAAAAUUGGAGCUAAAACCAGCCCCUGGAAACCUGGAGUUGGAUCCUGACCUUCACAGAGACUGGCCGUGAGACCCUGGAUAAGUCACUUAAGUCUUUAUGCCCCAGGUGGCAUUCUGCUUAGGUGGAGGGAGGCUUCCUACUGGGAGAUCCCCACCCGGAGAAAACAAGAGCUAGCUCUUGCCUUUCCCAAAGAUUUCUUUGUGAGGUUCAAAGGACACAGUGUAUGCUGAGUGUUACUUGAUUGCCCAUCAUUAUUGUUAUUGUUAUUAUAUGGGUUUGGAUCUGUGUUUCCCUUGGCAUAGGUAAAAGACUAAAGAAACUCACCCUACCUUUGCAGAUUUCCGGCUCUGCAACUUAAUAGCCUUAGGGAGUUGCUCAGGCCUUUGAGAAGAGAAGGGACUUACCCAGGGUCAUACAGUCAGAAGGUUGGGGGAGGAAGAUUCUCUUGAUGCUAGAUGUCUCUUGGGAGACUGGCUGUCCAGUUGCUAUGACGAGAGAAUGGAAGAAGGGAGAUUAGUAGGAAGAAAGGGGAACUGAUAUCCCUUAGAGGGAGGGAGAUCUUGAGGCUGGCCUCUUCUGUACCACUCCCAACUUCCUUUUCUGCAGCACUUAAUGGUGGUGUCCCAGCUUGUGAGUGAGGCACUCAGGAUGUUUAGAAGAGAAAGAGACAGAGGUCUGGGAAGGAGCCCCUCCCGGCCCCACAGUGGCACCCCCAUUCCACCCACACAGCCAGGACCAGAUCUAGGACCUUCAGCCCAUUUUAUAGAUGGGGAAACUGAGGCAGAGUUCAGUGACUCUCAGACAUAAUCUCGCCGCCCUUCGUCUUGUGACUAAUGAACAGCCUCCAAUUUGGAGCCUUUGGAGCCUGGCCCUGGACGUGGAUUCUGAAGGGGGCCUGACAGGACUAACCGAGUGGGUGUUUCCCCCCACUCUGGUCCUGGACCUUGCGAGAAGGUGAAAGAGAGCGCCCAGCAUUUAAAAAAAGAAAAGAAAAAAGAAAAAGAAGGAAAAAAAGAAGAAGAAAAAAUAUUCACAGCCACAUGUUUUUAUGGUAGCAUAGAAUUAGACCUGAUAACUCAUCCGCUGGGGUUGGCCAAACAAAUUGUAAUGAGGGAAUAUUGCUGUCCAGUGAGAAACAAUGACCAUCAGGAAGACUUCUUCAAGCUAACACAGAGUGAAGUGAACAGAACUAGGAAUGACAAUGACCGAUGUCCGUGUACAUGGAAUGGAAACGAUGCUAUGAAAUUGAAGUGACAAAACCGGACUCUAGAGAAGAGCUGGGAGAAGGCUCUAUCUGGACUUCCUUGCAGAGAUGAGAGACUGGACGUGGAAGACUGCAUCCAACCUCAGACUUUGCUCAUGUGUUGAUUGAUUUGGCUGAAUUUUCCCCUCUCCUUCAUUUUUAUUCUUUAUUCUAAGGGGAGACUCUUUGGGAUGGGAAAGGGAAGGGAUUUCCUGGGAAAUAUAACUGGGAAGGGAAGGGGAAGGGAUAUGCCAGGAAAUGCAAACAACCUGAUAAAAUUUUAUUUUAAAA